AUUGAACGCUGGCGGAAUGCUUUACACAUGCAAGUCGAGCGGCAGCGCGGUGCGACCUGGCGGCGCGCGGCGAACGGGUGAGUAACACAUCGGAACGUACCCAAGCGUGGGGGAUAACACAUCGAAAGAUGUUCUAAUACAGGAUCAGUCCUGAGGGAGAAAGCGGGGGAACGCCAGACCCCGCUGGGGCGGGGCGGCCGAUGGCGGAUUAGCUAGUUGGUGGGGUAAAGGCCUACCAAGGCGACGAUCCGUAGCUGGUCUGAGAGGACGACCAGCCACACUGGAACUGAGACACGGUCCAGACUCCUACGGGAGGCAGCAGUGGGGAAUUUUGGACAAUGGGCGCAAGCCUGAUCCAGCCAUUCCGCGUGAGUGAAGAAGGCCUUCGGGUUGUAAAGCUCUUUCGGCAGGGAAGAAACGGUGCUGGCUAAUACCUGGGGCUAAUGACGGUACCUGAAGAAGAAGCACCGGCUAACUACGUGCCAGCCGCCGCCGUAA
rnacentral:rRNA from 1 species